CAUAAAUCGCAAGAUGCAAUUUCACAGGGUCGGACGCCACCAUACGUUCUAGCCUGUAGUAGACAUUUGUUGACGAUAGUAGCCUACAAUAGCGUGAUUGACAAUGCUGCUGAGGUAAAAAUAUAUCCUGACACAUCUCAAAAGGCGUAAAUGAAUAACCCACGAGGCAAGUGCAUUGAUCUGUAACAUAUUUCUCUUAAUCGAAGUAGAUAAAACUUACCGGUAUGACGCGAUGUUGCUUUACACGGUAAGAUGUUUCUGUCGGUGGAUACUUUUGAACAUGUUUUAUUAGAAGAAAGUGAUUAAAGUGUGUUGGUGCUUUUUUAAACAUUUGGUCACGUUUCGAGUGCGCUUUUAAAAGAAGAAUAAUGACGUUCUUGACAAAUAGCCUAAAUAAAACGUAGGCUAAAUAUACCGUAUGUAUCUCGUUUUGCAAGUUAGAUUAUUAGCCUACAGAUCUUUUUAUUAUUGUUAUUAUUAUUAAAGUAAUCUGUACAUUCUUGUGGGAGAGACUUUUCAAGUCAAAAAACAUUUGGUCUUUUUGAGUUUUGCGCUAGCUGCAGAAUUGUAUCACCCAUAAACACAACUGCUCUCGUGUCCCUUCUGCGUUUGUCUGUUGCGCAAUUCACUUUUCAUUUUUUUGUAUAGUCUAGAGCAGGAACACCAAUCAGCUACAUUUUACCAAAGCACGAACUGUGUUGGGAGGGAGGUGUCAAGCCCAGAGGCUGAAUUUCGGCCAAUUAAAGUCGUCGACCCCCUUUGCAAUACGUCAGCCCGCUAAGGGAGGGCUCUGAGCGUGAGCUAUGUGUGCGGUUUCCAAGGCAACCACUUGUCCUGACCUCCCCAUCCCCAUCCUCCUCAGGCAAGAUUGGUUUCCAUGGUAAUGAUUGUAUCUCCCCGCAUGUUUCUAUUCCCGUAAAGCAAGCUGAGCGAACGGUCGGAAAGUCGCCUGCUUUCCUCCAAAGUCUGUCGGACAAUUUCUCUCUGCAUUAGUUCUGCAAGAAAAUGCGAUGAUAUGAGAAUAUGCUAUAGCCUGUAUUGGCCUGGGUAAAACCGUAUGUGAUUAUUUUCACUAACACAGAUAAAGUAGCCUAUUUUUUCAUUUAUAUAUAAAUAAAUAAAGAGCUGCAACUGUUAAAUGCA